GGAACUCUGUGCCUGAGGAGGAUUGACUAUGUCAACAUUACAACAGGGCCAGGAGCUCUUUCUCCUCUGCCAUUCCACCCACGCUGCCUUGUUGCCAGAACACUAGGGACUGAAUCCUCUACAAACUGGUCUUCUCGGAUGCUGCAGGUGCCUGUCGGCCUCACUGCCGUGUAAGCGUGAUAUUAACAUCUCUGGAGCAAACCUUCAACCAGGAGGAGACAGGAGGUGGUGCACGAACGUCCCAACCAUCCGUCCUGCAAUGGCUAGUUUCGGAGGCUUCCUAUACGCCACUCAGGGGUCGCAGGGUCUCACACACAACAGACGCACACGCCAGCACUUCAGCUUCCCCUCUCUCGCUCCCCUCCUCCCUUGCUGCUGUUUCUGGCAACUUCCCUUCUCUCAAAUCCUUCUUUUCUAUUCUGUUCUUCUCAGGAAACCCAAAGUAAGUCUGCUUACUAAUUUUUAAGAAUUAAGAACAAUAAGAGGAGAAACAGUGGCUUUAGGAGGAAUAAUUAACAAGACUUCCUGACUGAUUCAAUUGGACAGAAGAAAGGGAUGGGAAAGGGAGAACAAAAUGUGGCGCCAUCAUCAAUAUCAAUCACCAUCUUUCAGUGUAAGCAAUUCCUAAAUACCUAUACUCAGCGUAUCUGCCCUGUUUAAAAGACAGGCUGGCCCCAUGGGGGCGCUAAAGAGCAAGAGACCAUUUCCUUUCUGGAUGCUGCAUGAAGUUUCUCUAUCCCCUUCCAGCCCUUCCCAGGGAUCUUUACGGAACAUCUAAGGACCAUCAUGAAAUCUCUAUAUCCAGCUUUCACGUGGCUCCAUGAAGUUCUAGUGAUACUGGGAGAAGAGAGAAGGGAAGGAAAAGGAUGGAGGACAGAAAGGGAAUGAAAAGCCAGGAGCACUCUUAUGUCCCUCUGUACUUCAGCUCCUAAGGGAUUAUAAGUGCUUCCCUCAUUAGCUUCCUCUCCAUUGAAACAUCACAGUUCAAAGAUUUCCUUAUCUGUGAAGAUAGGGACAUGUCAAGGGUAAACAUGCUGCUUUUUAUGCCAAUCCAAAUUUUCACCUGCAUUUACA